CUCCAAGUUUUCUAGGAUGAUGCAAUGUCCAGCCAUCAACACAUUUGUGAAGGAAUUUUUACUCGGCAAAAGAGCGCCCCCCCAUGGCAGGAGAAAAAAGUCAAUUUUUUCUUGUCCACUAAGGUGAAAAUACACAUUGUUGAGUGCUACGCCUGUAUGUUUUGUCGUAUUGACACAAAAUUUUACAUACACGUGUAUUUCAAUAAGAUCUUCGAAAAAGUCAAUGGCCACGUAUCUGUAAAAUGUACGGUUAAAGGGUUAUUUCGCAUUUUUUGCAGAUUCGCACACAUUGGAAUUUCGCUAAUUCCUCCGAAGGCUUUUGUUCCACCGGCACCACAUUUGCUCAGGCCAAUCUACACCCCAUGGCCAUUAAAAGUUAUUCAAAUCAUGACGCUGCACCCCACGGUUUAGGUUCUAGGGGGCGCCAAAUAUAACCCUAAAAUCCACAUAUUUAAAAGUCUUAUAACUUUUUAUUUUUGUCCUCACUGGCCUCCAUGUUUUCUAGGAUGAUGCAAUGUCCAGCCAUCAACACAUUUGUGAAGGAGUUUUUUCUCUUUAAAAGAGCGCCCCCCAUGGCAGGAGAAUAAAGUCAAGUUUUUCCUGUUCAUCAUUCAAUGGCUCAAACGCACUGCUCUCUCGGCAAAAGCGAAAGGAGGAGCAACUUGCCAUUUGGAUAUAUCUUAGCUGUGUUUGUGCCCUCACUCAUGGUCCAGACUUUUUUCAAAUAGGACAUGGAGUUUUUCUGCAGCGAGCGUUUUGGUAGAAACUGCGCCUCCCGUUCAUUAUAAUGGUAAAUGACCACAAACAAGUGCGCACACCAUCUUUGGACCUUGAGUGUGACGCGAUCGGGUGGGGGAGGCGGUCGCGCUGGGGGCGGCGUGACACGGCUCGGGCCCGCCAGUGCCCCAACGGGGCCCUAGUUUCUUCUUUUUCCUCCCCUUUGAACUGGAAAAUGGCCCACUUCCCACUGGCGAAAACUCACGAAAUUUGGCAGGACGACCGGGCCUGGUGAAAAAUUCGAUAUUCUGAAGUCGCCCAAACAAUAAAAUGCAAAAUGGCUCCAUAGCGCCCCCUAAGGUGGAAAUUCACACUAUUGACUGUCACGCCUGUACGCUUUGUCAUAUUGACACAAAAAUUGACACACAUAUGUAUCUCAAUAAGAUCUACAAAAAGUCAGUGCGGCCGUAUCUGUCAAAAUUACGGUUAAAGGGUUAUUUCGCAUUUUUUGCCGAUCCGCACACAUUGGAAUUUCGCUAACUCCUCCGAAGGCUUUCGUUCCACCGGCACCACAUUUGCUCAGGCCAAUCUACACCCCGUGGCCAUUAAAAGUUAUCAAAAUCAUGACGCUGCACCCCAAGGUUUAGGUUCUAGGGGGCGCCAAAGAUAACACUAAAAUCCACAUAUUUAAAAGUCUUAUAACUUUUUAUUUUUGUCCUCACUGGCCUCCAAGUUUUCUAGGAUGAUGCAAUGUCCAGCCAUCAACACAUUUGUGAAGGAAUUUUUACUCCCCAAAAGAGCGCCCCCCCCAUGGCAGGAGAAAAAAGUCAAUUUUUUCUUGUCCCCUAAGGUGAAAAUACACAUUGUUGAGUGUCACGCCUAUACGCUUUGUCAAAAUGACACAAAAAUUGACACACACAUGUAACUCAAUAAGAUCUACGAAAAAGUCAAUGCGCGUGUAUCUGUCAAAUGUACGGUUAAAGGGUUAUUCCGCAUUUUUUGCCGAUCCGCACACAUUGGAAUGUGGCUAACUCCUCCUAAGGCUUUCGUUCCACCGGCACCACAUUUGCUCAGGCCAAUC